UACGAAGGGGGCUAGCGUUGUUCGGAAUCACUGGGCGUAAAGCGCACGCAGGCGGAUUGAUAAGUCAGGGGUGAAAUCCCGGAGCUCAACUUCGGAAUUGCCUUUGAUACUGUCUGUCUUGAGUCCGGGAGAGGUGAGUGGAAUUCCUAGUGUAGAGGUGAAAUGCGUAGAUAUUGGGAGGAACACCAGUGGCGAAGGCGGCUCACUGGACCGGUUCUGACGCUGAGGCGCGAAAGCGUGGGGAGCAAACGGG
rnacentral:rRNA from 1 species